UGGGGAAUAUUGCACAAUGGGCGAAAGCCUGAUGCAGCGACGCCGCGUGAGGGAUGACGGCCUUCGGGUUGUAAACCUCUUUCAGCAGGGAAGAAGCGAAAGUGACGGUACCUGCAGAAGAAGCGCCGGCUAACUACGUGCCAGCAGCCGCGGUAAUACGUAGGGCGCAAGCGUUGUCCGGAAUUAUUGGGCGUAAAGAGCUCGUAGGCGGUUAGUCGCGUCUGCUGUGAAAACUCGAGGCUCAACCUCGGGCUUGCAGUGGGUACGGGCUGACUAGAGUGCGGUAGGGGUGACUGGAAUUCCUGGUGUAGCGGUGGAAUGCGCAGAUAUCAGGAGGAACACCGAUGGGCGAAGGCAGGUCACUGGGCCGCAACUGACGCUGAGGAGC
rnacentral:rRNA from 1 species